rnacentral:rRNA from 1 species
GACGAACGCUGGCGGCGUGCUUAACACAUGCAAGUCGAACGGAAAGGCCCUGCUUUUGUGGGGUGCUCGAGUGGCGAGCGGGUGAGUAACACGUGAGUAACCCGUCCUUGACUUUGGGAUAACUUCAGGGAAAUGGGGAUCAUACCGGAUAGGAGCUCCUGCUGCAUGGGGGGGGUUGGAAAGUUUCGGCGGUUGGGGAUGGACUCGCGGCUUAUCAGCUUGUUGGUGGGGUAGUGGCUUACAAAGGCUUUGACGGGUAGCCGGCCUGGGAGGGUGACCGGCCACAUUGGGCCUGCGGUAGGGCCCAGACUGCAACGGUAGGCAGCGGUGGGAAAUAUUGCGCAAUGGGCCGAAGCCUGAUGCAGCAACGCCGCGUGCGGGAUGACGGCCUUCGGGUUGUAAACCGCUUUCGCCUGUGACGAAGCGUGAGUGACGGUAAUGGGUAAAGAAGCACCGGCUAACUACGUG